rnacentral:tRNA from 1 species
ACCUUCGUAGUGUAGUGGUCAGCAUGCUCGACGCGUAACGGAGAGGUCCGUGGUUCGAUUCCCGGCGAAGGGG